rnacentral:piRNA from 1 species
UGAAGCGUGCAGGAUGUGCUUCACAUCAGUCU